GUGACCGGAAACACUUGCUGUGAACUCCCUGCCUGCAGGUCUCUAUGGGAACUCCACCCUCAGCCUACCGUCAGUCACCAGGGCAAUGCAGAAGAAAACUUCAAGUUUCAUCUCAUGUCUAAGUCUCCGCUCCAGUCAGAAUGGCCAUCCAGCGCAAUACAAAUGACAGCAGAUGCCAGCGUGGGUGUGAGGAAUGGGGAGUCACUAUCACUGUUGGUAGGAAUGUAAACUAGUGUAGCCAUGUUGGAAUCAGUCUACACAUUUCUCAGAAACCUCCCGCUGGCUGGCUUUGUGGUGCUGGGAGGUGCAGGAGACGCAUUAGGACCAAUGGUGUCAGCCAGGGUUGGACCCUGCAAGCUAGUUACACCCACCACCUGCCAGUUUUCAUAUGGUCUGCUCAGCACUCCAUUUCCAUGGCCAUGGCUCUGCCUGCAUCUCUGGAGACCUGUUCCUGCCAGGGCCAACCAGAGCUGUGCUUCCACACCUGAGGGUCCCUGCCCCUAGGCAGCUGCGAUUGGUAAUAAAGAAUUACCGUACAGCCAAUGACUGGCCAAGGAGACUGUGGCAGGACUUUUAGACUGUACAGGCAAGAGACUGAGGGAGACAGGACAGAGAGAGAGAAUCUCCAUGAUGGGAAAGCAGAAGGAUGAAACUUAAAGGCCCAAAGAAUCCUAAGCUUGGCUGUCCUGGAAGUUGCUGUAUAGAUUGACUUUGAACCCAGAGAUCUGCAUG
rnacentral:lncRNA from 1 species